AUACGUAUGUCGCAAGCGUUAUCCGGAUUUAUUGGGCGUAAAGGGUGCGUAGGCGGCCUUGUAAGUCAGAUGUGAAAGAUCAUGGCUUAACUGUGGUAAGCAUUUGAAACUGCAGGGCUUGAGUACAGGAGAGGAAAGUGGAAUUCCUAGUGUAGCGGUGAAAUGCGUAGAUAUUAGGAGGAAUACCAGUGGCGAAGGCGACUCUCUGGACUGAUACUGACGCUGAGGCACGAAAGCGUGGGGAGCAAACAGGAUUAGAUACCCUGGUAGUCCACGCUAUAAACGAUGAGUGCUAGGUGUCGGGGGUCAAACCUCGGUGCCGCAGUUAACACAUUAAGCACUCCGCCUGGGGAGUACGGCCGCAAGGCUGAAACUCAAAUGAAUUGACGGGG
rnacentral:rRNA from 1 species